AUUGCCUCUCGCCCUAAUGGCCAAGAAAUGUUCUUAUUAGCUUAACAUUUGAUGGUUUCUUCCUUGGAGAACAACAAUUGUUAAACUGAUUUUUUGGAAUCAGACGGAAUGCUAGCGGCUUUCACCAUCUCUAUCGUGGGCUGGCGCUGUAUUGCAGAACCGCCGGGAUUUUCAGCUCAACUAAG
rnacentral:snRNA from 1 species